GACGAACGCUGGCGGCGUGCUUAACACAUGCAAGUCGAACGGAAAGGCCCUGCUUUUGUGGGGUGCUCGAGUGGCGAACGGGUGAGUAACACGUGAGUAACCUGCCACUGACUUUGGGAUAACUUCAGGAAACUGGGGCUAAUACCGGAUAGGAGCUCCUGCUGCAUGGUGGGGGUUGGAAAGUUUCGGCGGUUGGGGAUGGACUCGCGGCUUAUCAGCUUGUUGGUGGGGUAGUGGCUUACCAAGGCUUUGACCGGUAGCCGGCCUGAGAGGGUGACCGGCCACAUUGGGCCUGGGAUGCGGCCCAGACUCCUACGGGAGGCAGCAGUGGGGAAUAUUGCACAAUGGGCGGAAGCCUAAUGCAGCAACGCCGCGUGCGGGAUGACGGCCAUCGGGUUGUAAACCGCAUUCGCCUGUGACGAAGCGUGAGUGACGGUAAUGGGUAAAGAAGCACCGGCUAACUACGUG
rnacentral:rRNA from 1 species